GCAGACACAUUCCAGCCAAUCAGCAGCAGGCCCUCCCUCCCAGACCCUUCCACCUCCUGGACAGCAUCCAUUUUACAUUCAUUGUGAAGCUGCAUUUUUAGUGAGCUGUCCAGGAGGUGGGAGGGUCUGGGAGGGAGGGUCUGCUGCUGAUUGGCUGGAAUGUGUCUG
rnacentral:miRNA from 1 species